AGUGAACGCUGGCGGUAGGCCUAACACAUGCAAGUCGAACGGCAGCACAGUAAGAGCUUGCUCUUACGGGUGGCGAGUGGCGGACGGGUGAGGAAUGCAUCGGAAUCUACUUUUUCGUGGGGGAUAACGUAGGGAAACUUCCGCUACUACCGCAUACGACCUACGGGUGAAAGCAGGGGAUCUUCGGACCUUGCGCGUUUGAAUGAGCCGAUGUCGGAUUAGCUAGUUGGCGGGGUAAAGGCCCACCAAGGCGACGAUCCGUAGCUGGUCUGAGAGGAUGAUCAGCCACACUGGAACUGAGACACGGUCCAGACUCCUACGGGAGGCAGCAGUGGGGAAUAUUGGACAAUGGGCGCAAGCCUGAUCCAGCCAUACCGCGUGGGUGAAGAAGGCCUUCGGGUUGUAAAGCCCUUUUGUUGGGAAAGAAAAGCAGCAGGUUAAUACCCCGCUGUUCUGACGGUACCCAAAGAAUAAGCACCGGCUAACUUCGUG
rnacentral:rRNA from 1 species